rnacentral:tRNA from 1 species
GCCUGGGUGGCUCAGUUGGUUGAGCAUCAGAGUUUUAAUUUCAGUUCAGGUCAUGAUCUCCAGAUUGUGGGUUCGAGCCCCACACCGAGCU